GGAAGAUAUGGAGAGAUUCUAGCAUGUCCACGUCACUUAAUAAAUUCCUCCAAUCACAACAUUUCAUUAAAACAUGUCAUACGGGCUUGAAAAUCUACCUAUAAGUCCAGGCUUCAUGUGUAUUUGUGUUUUUGAGUGGGCUUCGCUAUCGUUACGCCAAACGAGAGAAACCUCUACCUCUUCAUCUUCUCCGCUUGAAACCAUAGCCAUAGAGUUCUAUCGAUCCACCUUUGCACAAUCAAGACUCCACUACAUCUCGAUCAAUAAAUUUGUUUUUUUAUGGUUUCGUUUCAGCUUUAUCUUUUCCUCCUUCUUUAUAUACUCAAUUCUUCUUCAGUUUUUCAUUGCACCUCCCCUUUCUACUGCUCUUACAUAAAGCCAUAUGUGUAAAUCUAAUUGUUUCAACCAUUAAGAGGAAGAGGAGGCCGGGUGUGUACAGUCUCCAGUGAUUGGGAGAAGAGGAGUUUCCGAUCAGCCGGAACGGGAGUUUUCGAGACAACGUUAGGGUUUUUCUCCGGGACUUCACGGAGGUCAAAGAAUACAACAUCCGCGGAUCACCUGUUUGGUGUACGCUUCUAAAUCACGAGGCAAAGAACUCAGUGAUUCCUCUUCACCAUCGAAGAAGACACUGCUUUAUCCUCGGAACCUUACUGUCAUCACUGCAGAUGCACAGGUUCGUCCCCUUUGAUUUCAAUUAGGUUUGUCCACAGCUGUUGGAGUACUUUAGAUAUGUCAGAUCGAGACUUUGGCUUUUCAAUGAUUGUGGUGACCGAGCUGUACAGUUGCUAUAUGUGAAAUCAGUUCAUCCUUACAGUACGAUACUCACAAACAAGUUAUAAUCAUCAACACUCAUUUGCUCUCUCCUCAUGAUUCAGCACUGUCUAUGGUCAGGUAUUGCAGCAUGUACAAUGUUUAAUCUUAAAUCUUUGUUGUAUCAAUCCAUUCACUAUCACUGCUGUUGAUUUACAUCUUUCUGAACAAGACUUUUUGACCGGUUUACAAGAUUAACCAAGAGAGCGAUCAAAACAUUGCCAAGUUUGAUGCUUUUGAUCUGUUUGUAUAAUAAAAGUUGUUUCUUUCUUUCACAUGAUGACUUAUUUACUUAAAGUUAUAUAUUUGUUUGUGUAGCUAACGAGGGAUCCUUAAUGGUGUUAUAGUGUACUGGAAGCUCAGUUGAUUAUAUUUGUUGCUUUGAAGAUGUUGCAUGAUGCCUUCAUGAAACCAUUAAGAUUAAAAAAGUAUCUUAUUAAGGCCUUGACGUGAUAGAUUCAGUUUCUGUUUAUAUAUAAACAAUUAACUUGAACUGCUUUUCCUGUGUUGUAUGAAAUUGCAGCUCUAGAUGCUGCCAGUAAAGGGAACCGAUUGAUCCACUCUUACCUCAGAUAUCAAAGAUCAUAACUUUAUAGAUUACAUUUUACCAUAGAUUAACAAAACCCGAUUUGGUGCUGUAGAUGAGCAGUAGGGGUUUCUUCAACAAGACUUAUUGGUACUGUUGGACGCAGCAGCGGGUGUUAUCUCAGUUUCUAAUCUUUUUAUCAUAUGCAAAAAUGUAAACCUUUUUUUAAACUUCUAAUUACUUCUCUGUCUCUUUGGCACAGUGAAUGCAACUGUCUCUCCUCCAUAAAAUCUAAAGGUUAAUGUGUACUUCACUUCCAUUGCAUAUAACUGAGAUUCACUUUCCUCUUGAUUGCAGAGAGUUCGGAGUCUAUUGGCUUAUACACAUAUAUCUUUUCGGCGUCAGUGUCGUUCUCGGAGACGUCGUUUUUUGUUUGUUUGAAUGCUCUCUUUGUGAUUGAAUAUAUGUUGAGUCUAACCUAAGGAUUGCCAGAUGAGAUUGGGGCAGGCUCAGCAAGCAAUUUCUUUCUUGAGUUAUCUGAAGUUUCAUCAAGUAGUGUUUUGUCCUUUGAGCGUAAUGGAUGGUUGGGUGUCAGAGAUAAAUAGGUUCACUCCAAACUUGGAGUUCUUAGGUAUGUUGGUGAUAAGGAUUGCCGUAUGGAUUUGCGUAAGGAAUGUAUGAUCAUGUCAACAAGAGCUCUAAUGUGAGAGUGAAAGUUUUGGUCUUUCUCUAGAACUUGGGUUUUUAUCAGCUGUGUGUAAUUAUAUUUUUCCAGGAAUCUUUGUUACCAUUUUAUUUAUUUGUUGUUGACAACGUAUGAUAUAGCAUUGGUGGAUCAAGACUUACUUUCUCAGACACCUUGGUAGUAUGUUGUAAUUCAUCGAGUUGUGAACUGAAUGAGAAAUCAUAGAAUGGAGUGGGUUUACUUUCCAGACGAAAACUCUACACUUCUGUUUUGACUUCUUAUGAUACAUUUCUUCAUGAUUUACUUUCCCAACCAGACAAACCAUAGGAAUGAAUGAACAAAAACUGCUCCCCUAGAGGUGUUAAAUAUAUAAUGCUGCUCUGAUCUUAGAAAGGUGUAUGCUUUAGCUUAUUAUGUUAGAGUUUGACUGAGAGCUUGAUUACCAGUAUUGUGUGAAACUACUUGCCAGUAUAAAAUGGAAUGGGUUGAUUAUU